rnacentral:rRNA from 1 species
GUUGACCGCGGAUCAGGUAGGAAUACCCGCUGAACUUAAGCAUAUCAAUAAGCGGAGGAA